AUAACCGAAUUGCAAAUUUGCAUUUCUCAGACUUCAGAAGAGGAAACAUCAGAGUAGAGACUGAAAAAAAAUAAAGUUUUACACUGAUAGAUCUGAGUAUUUUGUGACCCAGAACCCCAACCACGGUAAGACUUUUCUGUUGUUUUCAUCCUGAGAAGUGGAUUUGUCCUUGAACAUUUACAACCUUGAAAUAUUAUUCUUCUUGAGUUAUUGUCAUUUAAAAUGUAUGUUUUUUUGUUUGUUUUUGAUAGAAUAUCAAAUAUUGUUACAAAUAUUCAAAAUUGAAUUUAAGCUUGAAGCUUUGAUGAAAUCUAUCUUAGAUAAGUUAGUGUAAAAUUUAGCUGUAAGACAAAUUUAAAAAACAAAAUACAGUUUCUUUAACACUGUUAAAUCUUCCAUAAGAGUUUUAGUUAAGUUCAGCGAAAUGUCUUAAGUCAAAAAUACAAUGAAAAUUCACAAUUAAAAGAGUCCUAAUUAUAAGAUGGUUGAUACUUAAUGUAAGAAAAAUGUCAUAAAAGUCAAAAUAAAAGCAAGUAAGCCACAGUUGUAAGGUGAUAAGUUAAGAUUAAGAGUCAUAAUUAUGAAAUUUAAAAAGAAAUUAGAUCAUAAGAUAGCCAUAACUUUUAACUUACAAUUAUGAAAAUAUGUCCUGAUUAUAACAAACAGAGUCAGAGUUAUAAGAGAGAACAUUGUGAUUAUAAUAAAAGUUUAAAUUAGGAAACAUUUUGAUGAGCCUGUCAUCAAAUCAAAUUUGCAGACUGUUCAUGAAAACAAAGACUGUCUGAAUGAAAGAGUAUGUUUGAUUAUAAAAUUUAAUGAAGAUGUCUCAGCACUUGGUCUGAGUCCAAGUUUAUUACCCAAACAUUGAGCUUUUAUCUUCUGUGCUCUGAGCUGAAACUUUUAGAGAGGACUUCAGCAGUUUACACAGAGAUGUCCUUAACUGACUUUUCUAUAAGUUGGCACGAACAAUAAGAUGUCACAUUUUGCUGUUUUUAUCCUAAAAGGCUGUGUAGAUGAGACCUUAGAUUUUCAAUCUGAAGAGCUGCUUUACGUUUACUUUCAUCUUGACUCUGGAGCUUGUUAUCUUGACGACCAUUCCCCAGUGUGUCUUUAAAUGGUCACAUAACAUCAAGUGAUUACAUAAUGCCGGCAUAAACAGAGCCAAAAGAAAAGAGAUGUUAUCAAACAGUUUUUUUAAUGAGUUUUGUUUGAGAGCCGGGGCUUUCUUUUUUAAAUGCAUUAUCAAUUUACUACCUGCACAUUCACGAAUGCUGUUAAACUCAUAUACCUUUUAUUUCAUUGAUCAACUUAUUUGUACAGGAAGAGGACAGGAAAGCGCUCACAGGGUGAUGUUUUGGACUUUUUUCAGGAAAUAAAAGCAGAGUUAUAUUUACUUUUUCUUUCACUGAAUCCAUGGGAGGGCGGAAGUCAAAACCUGAUCCAGAGCCAUGUAAUAUUAUUUUUCAAUAUUAAACAAAUCUUUUGUCAAAACAAUUUUUUGGUAACGUUCUGACUUACCUUAAAAUUCGUUUUUCUUUCAGUGUUCAGUGAGCCAUGGCGGAAACUCAACUGGACGUAAGUGCUCUCAAAUGUUCUAUUUUUAUAAAUCACUGUGUGUGUGAUUUACAAAGUGCCAGUGGAUAUACAAAACCAAAUCCUGACAGCAAAGGGUUAACUUUUUUGGGUUCAUUCUGAGUUAAGAUCUAUUUGUUAUGAAGAAUUUAAAAAAGGAUAGGUCUGAGUUAAAGAUUUUUAUUCUUGCAAGAAAGAGCAGUCACAAACAGAAAGUCUGUAAGCAAGUGCUCAAAGGACUGUUCUCUGACUUUUUUAGACACAGGGCGUUACCAGUUUACAUCAGUCAUAACGAAAACAUGCUCAUCUAUGACAAACCGUUGUCAUCUCUUGCUUUCUUUGUUUUGCAGACUGGGUUCAGCUUUUGUUUCUCAGUCUUGACUCAGGGCCAGAACAGAGAUAGACAGUAACAGUGUGUUACACAGCAUAUUUCUAUAAGAGCUGUCCUUAAAUUACCUUUGAUGACAUGAGUACAUGUACAAGGACUGGAUAAGAAGUUAUUUGUCCAGAGUCACCAUUUAUAGUUCCCCCAUACAUCUGGAAGUCCAUCUGUGUGCACGACUUUUAUGAGAUAGUCACAUGACAGUAUCUGUGUGUGCACUGACACCUCUCCUGAGCCAUCUUUUCUCUGCCUCCAUAGUUUCACAUCCUGCACUGAAUGUGCAUCACUUAAUUAUGCAAAACUAAAAUAAUGUGUGGUUGUGAUCAUUUUAUGUCACACAUCAUUCCUCCACUGAACAGAGACAGACGGGGCAUUCUGCUCUAUGUGAAGAACUACAACCCGAGGACCCCAGGGCAGCAGAUCAGAAUUCUUCUUCAUGGGCCAGUUGGAAGUGGAAAGUCCAGUUUCAUCAACUCUGUUAACUCUAGUCUCUUACAUGAAAGACCGUACACCAACGCUUUAGCAAACCACAACUCCAGCAAAAGUUUUACCAAAGUGGUAUGACAACUUUUUGUUGAAACAUAUAGAAAAUGUCUCAAAUAUAUAAUGAUAAUGAAAAAUCUACUAACUCCCAGUGCAUGCCUUUUGUCACAGUUAUCUUUACUUAGAGAUAUUCCUGAAAUUUCCUGGUCUCUAUAGGAUCACUGUGUUCAUAUCGGAUUUAGUUGUAAAAUAACUGAGGCCCUUUUAAAUAGAUUUUUAACAGUUUUCUAAAUACCUCAGGGAAAAUCAAAAAUGUCAGGAGUUUAUUUUCCGAGGGGGCCAGCUUGAGACCACAAAGAGUGAGACAAAUAUACAGGAGGUGCUUACCAUCAAAUGUAAAUCAUGGAUGUGACUUCAGUCAACAGUUUCUGGUCUCCUGUCUUGUUCUAUGGUUUUCAAAUUCUGUCCAAAUAUGAACAAAGUUUGGUUACAGUUUGUCUCAGUAUACAACCCCAGUUCAAAAAAGUGAAUACAACAUGUGAAAUUUGAUCAAAAAUAGGUUUCGGACAAGACAUCAACGCUGAUACUGAAAUAUUCGAUCAUUUGAUGAAAAAUAUGCUGGUUUGUUUUGAAGUGUGAUGCUAGUUUUACAUUGAUACCAAUGCCUCGCAGGAAUUUUAUUUGAAUUGCAUCUUUGGGAAUAGCUGUAAUGAGAAAAAAGUUGACGCGUUCAAUACUUAUUUUCCCCAUUGUAGCUGAAAAGUUUCAGAAUAAUGUCCCUGAGUGUCAAAUUUGAAAGAAUGAGUGGAUUUCAUUAUCUACACUGCAUAAUAUCAUUGGCUCUUGUAGUAUACCAUCUUUAUUUUCUCGAAAGUCAUGUUUUACCACAUGUAUGGUGUCUUUUUUUUUUCACCUCACCAUUUUACACUGUGUACAAUGCACAUUAAGACCAGUGAGACAGGAAGAGAAAGUAAAACUAAAACUGACAGGAUAGGAAAUCUUGUGGGUGUGACAAAGUUUAACCAAAUUGCGUAUGUACAUUUCUCAGACUUCAGAAGAGGACACAUGAAAGUAGAGUCUGAAAAAACAAAAGUUUCACUGAUACAUCUGAGUUUUUUGUGACCCAGAACACCAUCCACGGUAAGACUUUUCUGUUGUUUUCUUCCUGAGACUUGGAUUUGUCCUUGUCCUAUUUUGUUGUUCAAAAUUAAAUUUAAGCUUGAAGCUUUGAGGAAAUCCAUCUUAGAUAAAUUAGAGUAAAAUUUGGCUGGAAGACAAAGUUAAAAAAAAAAUAAAAAAUACAGUUUCUGUAACACUGUUGAGUCUUCCAUAAGAGCUUAAGUUAAGUUCAGCAAAAUGUUUGAAGUCAAAAAUACAAUGAAAAAGUCAAAAGAAUCCUAAUUAUAUGAUGGUUGGUAAUUAUUGUAAGAAAAAUGUCAUAAAAGGUCAAAAUAAAAGGUAGUAAGUCACAGCUGUAAGAUGGUAAGUUAAGAUUUAAAGUCAUAAUCAUGAAAUAAAUUAAAAGUUAUAAGAAAAACUAGGAAGAUGUCACAAUCAAAAGACAAAUAUAAUGAUAUGAAAGAAAGUCAUAAUAUCUUCAUCAUUCUGAAAAGAUUUUUCAGAAUUAUCAGAAAAAAAAACUAUAACAUUGUCAUAAAAUUGUAAGUUACAAUCAUGAAAGUAUGUCAUGAUUAUAACAAACAGAGUCAGAGUUAUAAGAGAGAACAUUGUGAUUAUAAGAAAAGUUUAAAUUAUGAAACAUUUUGAUGAGCCUGUGAUCAAAUCAAAUUUACAGACUGUUCAUGAAAACAAAGACUGUCUGAAUAAAAGGGUAUGUUUGAUUAUCAAAUUUAAUGAAGAUGUCUCAGAGCUGAAACUUUUAGAGAGGACUUCAGCAGUUUACACAGAGAUGUCCUGAACUGACUUUUAUAUGAUUUGGCACGAAAAAUAAGAUGUCACAUUUUGCUGUUUCUAUCCUAAAAAGUCUGUGUAGAUGAGACCUUAGAUUUUCAACAGCAUUUACAGAGGCUGGCAGCUUAUUUAAAUUCUACUGAUCUGAAGAACAGCUUUACUUUUACUUUCAUUUUGACUCUGGAGCUUAUUAUCUUGACGACCAUUCACCAGUGUGUCUUUAAAUGGUCACGUAACACCAAGAGUGAUUACACAGAGCCGAAGGAAAAGAGAUGUUAUCAAACAGUUUUUCAAAUGAACUUUGUUUGAGAGCCAGGGCAUCUUUUUAAAGUGCACUUUCUAUUUGCUACCUGCAUGUUCAGGAAUGCUGUUAAACUCAUUUACCUUUUAUUUCAUUGAUCAAUUUAUUUGUACAGAAAGAGGACAGGAAAGCACUCACAGGGUGAUGUUUUGGAAUUUUUUCAAAUGUAACCCAGAGAUUUCUUUAAAGGAUUUUUUUUCAUAGUUUUUCAGGCUAAUUAUGAUUUUCAGGAAAUACAAGCAAGUAUUUACUUUUUUUUUUCUCUGCAGCCAUGGGAAGGCUGUUUUCAAAACCUGAUCCGGAACCAUGUAAUAUUAUUUUUGAAUAUUAAAUAAAUCUUUUAUCAAAAUACAAUUUUAUUGGAAAAAUUCUGACUAAAACUAAAAUUUGUUUCUCUUUCAGUGUUCAGUGAGCCAUGGCGGCAACUCAACUGGAGGUAAGUGCUCUCUAAUGUGCUAUUUUCCUUAAUCACUGGGUGUGUGAUUUACAAAGUACCAGUGGAUAUACAAAACCAAAUCCUGACAGCAAAGGGUUAAUUUUUUUGGGUUCAUUCUGAGUUAAGAUCUGUUUUUUUUUUUUUUUUUUGUUGUUGUUGUUUUAACUCUUUUGUUUAUUCCUUUGCUUUCUUUUUAUGUAUGUCUGUUUACUUUGGAAAACACUUUUUAAACCUUUUUGAAAGGUGCAGUAUAAAUUCAUUAAUUAUUAGUAUUAUUAAUAUUACCAUUAUAAUUACUAUAACUGUUAUUAUUAUCCCUGUAAUUACUCAGCUACCAACUAAAUACAAAAAUAAGCUAGCUCCAAGAAUUGAUUCAGAGAUGAUUUUGUUGGUCUAAAAAUGAUUCACUUAUACUCCUUCAGUUUUAAUGUUUGGUGCUAGUUCAUGCUCACUGCACACCUCUCUCUUUUCAUACUUGUGUCUCUGCUUUUAUGUUUUGUGCAAACACCUGCUUCCUCCCCCCUGCUGUCCUCUCCUCACACAUGGCUGCAUGACAGUUUUGUUAAACCAGUCUGUCCACCUUUUGCAAUAUCUUCUACUUCCAUGUGCACACAACUCUGCUGCACAUUUAUCUGAGCUGAUAAAAAGUGAAAAUGCUACGAAGAUUUUAAAAAGGAUAGGUCUGAGUUAAAGAUUUUUCUUUUUGCAAGAAGGAGCAGUCACAAACAGAGAUUCUGUAAGCAAGUGCUCAGAGGACUGUCCUCUAAAUUAUUUUUUUAGACACAGGGCGUGACAAGUUAACACGAGUCAAAUUGACAGCAUGCUCAUCCAUGAUAAGCUGCAUCUCUCAGGGUCAGAGCAGCAGAUAUCGACAGUAACAGUGUGUUGCACAGUAUACUUCUAUAAGAGCUGUUCUUAAAUUACCUUUGAUGACAUGAGUACAUGUACAAGGAUUGGAUAAGAAGAUAUUUGUACAGAGUCACCAUUUAUAGUUUCAACAAAGUAAAUGUUCAACAUCACAAUGCAAAGAAACUCUUUGCAGUCUGUUCAGCACAAUCCAAUAAGAGUAACCAAGCCCCAAUACAUCUGAAUGUCCAGCUGUGUGCACGACUUACAUAAAACACAUAAGAAUUGGAAAAGCACUCAGAGAGCGCAGACCUCCGCCAAGCAGCUCAUGUCCCCCCUUAUAUUGUGAUUCACACAGAAACUUUUACCAUUACGUGUCUUUUAUUAACUUUUAUUUGUGUUUAAACUGGUAUGUUCACUGUUCAUAAUGUUCCUAAAACAACAAAGCUCAUAUUAGAUACAUAAAUGCAUGAUUUAUUAUGCAAUAUUUGUAAGCGUACACUUCCUUGUAUCUUCAUUGGUUAUCUUUCGACGCCCUUAUUUUUGUGUGUUCUGGAUCACAGCAUCCGGAAUUUUGUCUGGAUCAGGAUCAACCUUUGACACUUCAUAAAACUCAUUGAGAUCCUUUUGUGUAAUUUUUUACUUAAGACUCUGGACAUUUUUAUAGAGUAAAAUGCAGAAAUUCCAAAAUUUGCCCGAUCUCACAAUGAUAAAGAAUCCUUCAAAAAAUUCCUGGAUCCAGAAGGCGAUCCGGAUCACCACCAAAAUUGGAAAUCCUCCUGGGGCUGAGACGCACCUCUGGUGAAAAUUUCAGGUCAAUCCGUCACUUUCUCCUUAAAGUUGCUAACAGACAAACAAACAAACAAACAAACAAACCAAUGCUACCAAAAACAUAACCUCCUUGGCGGAAGUAACUAAUGUGGGACUUUUAUGAGAUAGUCACAUGACAGUAUGUGUGUGCACUGACAUCUCUCCUGAUCCAUCCUUUCUCUCCCUCCAUAGUUUCACAUCCUGCACUGAAUGUGCAUCACUUAAUUAUGCAAAACUAAAAUAAUUUGUGGUUGUUAUCAUUUUAUGUCACACAUCUUUCCUCCUCUGAACAGAGACAGACGGGGCAUUCUGCUCUAUUUGAAGAACUACAACCCUAAGACCCCAGAACAAGUGAUCAGAAUUCUUCUUCAUGGGCCAACUGGAAGUGGAAAGUCCAGUUUCAUCAACUCUGUUAACAUUCUCUUACGUGAAAGACUGUGCACCAAGGCUUUAGCAAACCACAAAUCCAUCAAAAGUUUUACCAGCAAGGUAUGAUGACUUUUUGUUGGAACAUAAAGGAAAUGUCUCAAAUUUGUAAUGACAGUGACAGGUCUAUAAACUCCCAGUGCAUGCCUUUUGUCACAGUUAUCUUUACUUUUAUUACUUAAAGGGAUGGUUUAGUUGUUUCCAAGUGUGGUCAUUUUAGGUUCUCGUCAUUGGUCAGUGUAUUUGCCAAAGGGAUCCCAGUGACUUGGGCCCCCUUUGCUGAGAUACCAAACAGAGAACUACUGCAGGUGGGCUCAGCUCCACCAAGUGAUUUCAAUCAUUUUAAUCCCCAACCAAAGCACUGUUUUGGUGUCCACCAUAGGUGAGACAUCAAAUUCACCUCAAAAUAAAAGAUAAUGGAGGUAAAUGUGUUUACUUUAUUUAAUGGAUGCUGACAAAAAUAUCUAAAAGAAAUCCUGUAUGGGAAAAAAGAUGCAUUGGUUAUUGCAAUGGUUGUUAAAAUUGAACUGUGAUCAAAUCAUUAGGUUCCUAAAAUGGCUCACCCUAACCAAUAACACUCUCCUCCAUUUGUCUUUAAUAGUACAAAACCUUCAGGACCGACAAUGGGACCUCAGGAGAAUAUUACCCUUUUGUGUUCAAUGACAUCAUGGGCCUGGAAAACAUUGGAGGGGUCCAUCCAGAUGAUGUCAAACUGGCUCUGAAAGGACAUGUCAUGGAAAAUUACGAGGUACAUUUACUGCAAACUUUGCACAUUUUUCUUCCAAAAAGAUUUAUAUGCAUCAUUUAUUAAAUCAGAAUUCUGUCUUAGUUAACAUGUUUUUCACUGUAAUGUUCUUCAAAUGAUUUUAAAACUGUUUUCCAGUUCAAUCCUGAAUCCAAGUUGACUGAGGAGAAACCGUUCUUUGUCCAAAAUCCAUCUGAGAAUGACAAAGUGAAUGUUCUGGUUUGUGUUGUUGAUGCCAACAAAAUGUCCAUAAUACAUGAUGAAACUCUGAAAAAGUUUCGUGACAUCAGGGAGGAAGCCAGUCGCCUGGGUAAGAACAGAAAAGCUUUUCCAAUAUUUUUCUCAAGAGUUAGAUGAACUUUGCAAAAAAACACACAGUUUAAUCUUCGACAGAUCUUCAAACAGUUCCACUAGCUGAUUUUGAUUUAUGUAUCUGGAGAAGAACAGUGGCUUUUGAAAUGUUUUUUUUUCUCUCAAGGGAUUCAAAGUUUUGUGUUUGACAGACAUCCCUCAAGUGGCCAUCCUCACCCACAUUGAUGAGGUCUGUCCUGAAGUCAAGAAAGAUUUAAAAAACGUCUACAAGUCCAUCUUACUGAAGAAGAAGGUAUGCUUACUUGUUGAUUUCAUGGUUUUGUAAAGAAGGAAUCACACUUUAAAAAGUAGUCUACAACUAAGACACCAAUGGGCUCCUUCGCUCAGCACUGAUUUUUUCACACACUGCACUGCAGUCAAAUCAGGUGAUGCAAAAAUAAAGAAGAUUAAAAACUACAAUUUAUACAAAUAAAUCAAUAAUAAUGAAAAAAAUGUUUUUAUGUUUUAAAACCAAAGUUGAUGAAAUGCUUUGACAGAAAAACCCUUGCCCUCCCGAAGCAGAUCAUUCCACAGACCUUAGUGGGCACAAGUUCAUUUGAUCCAAGCCAGAUCUGAAUCUGUGUCCUCUAGUCAGGAUGACAGGAAGAGCUCAGUAUCAUCUGCAUAGCAGUGAUAUGAGAAUCCAUGAGUUUUGAUUAGUGCAUUUAGAUUUUGUAUGUAGAGAAAAGGAGGGGACCAAGAACUGACCCUUGAAGCAUCCCUGUUGUUGGGCACUGUGGUUUGGACUUCUCCUCUUUGUGAUACCCUAAAAGACCUAUUACGAGGCGUAUUACUAUUUUCAUGAAGUAGUCAAAGAGAUCAAGAGAUGUCUGAAGACAGCAAUGCCACACGAUGGCGACAGAAGGCAGCUCCUCAACAAGUGUCGCUGCACUGGGCGUCCUCCACACUCUCUCAUGUAAGCAAAGAUGGAUUUGGUGUGUGGAAUGUUGGAGCCACUAGUAAGACAAACAUCGCUUUCCAGAAAUAAAGACACUCACAUAAAGUUGCACAUAUUCAAACCUCACAAAGGUGGGUUGUGCACACAGAUCACAACAUAAAUUCCAAAAAUGGCAUUAAAAUCGGAACCAUCUGUGCGUAAUGACGCAUCCCGCUCCAUGGUCUGGCUCUUUCUUUCAUAGAUGUUGGCAUGUAAAAUAAAUUUGGCCCACAAAACUGAAUAUUAUAAUAUCCGUAUGUAGGCUUAAAGUACACAAUUCAUCUGAUUACUAAAAUAAAUCAUCCGCUCAGCAGCCGCUGCAGCAGCUGCAGCAGGACAGGGAGAGGACACGGAGACAUGUCCAGGUCGAGAAACAAGAGGAAGAGGAAGAAAGAAAAGGAGGGAGACGAAUUACAUAUCUAGUUAACUUCAUUAUGUGUGUCUAUUUACUAGAUAUUUAAUUUAAUUUAAUGCGGUUUCAGCUGUGUUGAUUCGGUCAGGUUGUGUGUCCAAACGCGUGCCAAACGCACUCAUCAGAUCAGAUAUAGAUCAGAAUGUAUAGAUCUAAAUGUAUGUGCUGACUCAGAUUAUUAGUUGUUGAUGAUUAUUUAUUGCACUGAAAUGUGCCUGACACUGUGGAAACCUGCCGGUGAGGCAUCAGUGACGUAUGCCAAUACGCCACCGGUCUACCAAAAUACUACUAGACCAGCGCCACCUGUGCUGAAAGCUGACCAGGAUUGAAUCGGCGAGCUUUCAGCGCACUUUAUACAACGGUGGCAAGCACAAAAAUGUCACUGCGCCAGCUGAUUCUGUUGACACCUCCCCCUGCCAUGCCACCACGCCCAGCUUGGCGGAUCUCGGUGCGCUUCAGUCCACAAAAAUACCAAACUGGCUGUACGCCGGGCUCCGCCAGACAAAAAUACCACUGCACAUGGUCCGCCGCCUCACCGGUGUACACGAAAAUAGAGCCCUCUGAUUGGCAGUGACUGUCCUGAUGAGACCAACCAAGAAACCAGAGACAUGUAGUUCAGAUCCAGUCUUUAUUUGAGACCAGUGUUUUUCUGUCAAAACAUGCAGCGGCACCGGACUAGUAUCAUUGAUACAGUGUUGAAUUGAAUAGAUGAAUGAAACAGCCAUCCUAAAUCAGGUCUCAUCACUUCUUGUUUUAAAGAAAGGUCACUGCUCUUCCUUCUUUAGAAUUCACUAUCAGCUGCUCAUAUUUUAAAUCUGUUUAACUAGAUGGAGGAGUUCAGUGAAAGGGUGGGGAUCCCGAUGUACUGCAUCUUCCCUGUGAAGAACUACCAUGAUGAGAUUGACAUCAACAAUGACAUUGAUGUUCUGCUCCUGAGUGCUCUGAAAAACAUCAUCCACUUUGGAGAAGACUUCCUUAACCCCUAACUGCAGUAUUCAGCUGUGUGAUCCAUGCUUUUGAAACCCACAGGGCUAAAUGUUAAAUAUAAUGACCAUGUAAGAUAAUAUUGAAUCAUUGUUUUCUGAAGUGACUCUGUGCUGUGGGCUAGAGUUGAGCUUUAUGUGAUCAGCUUAGCAAACUUUUUUUUCUGCUUUCAGUGAGUUUAUAGUUAUCUCCUGCUUCUGUGAUUUUAACUCUAUGAAUCUUUUUAAAAAGUGCAAAAUUUGAUUUCAAAUGUAUUCAAGACUUUGCAUUCACGAUAAGAAACAGGCCACUCUGUGCUGAAUUCUGUCUUACAUUUGUCUUUAUUUUUGGUGUCAAUGAGUAAAAUCUGAUUUUUUUAUGUUAUUGCACCGUGAGUUACAUGUUAAAACGUUUUCAAAAGAUGGUAAGAAUAUCUUUUUCUUAGGUUUGUAAUGACCUUCAUGAUCUCAGACUUGUUUCAGAAUAAAUAUAAAAAUAAGAACUUUAUUAUUCCCCAAAGGGAAAUUCAA
rnacentral:lncRNA from 1 species